rnacentral:rRNA from 1 species
UACGGAGGAUGCAAGCGUUAUCCGGAUUUAUUGGGUUUAAAGGGUGCGUAGGCGGAUAUGUAAGUCAGCGGUGAAACUCACAGGCUCAACCUGUGCCGUGCCGUUGAAACUGUGUAUCUGGAAUGCGGAUGCUGUGGGAGGAAUGUGUAGUGUAGCGGUGAAAUGCAUAGAUAUUACACAGAACACCGAUUGCGGAGGCAUCUCACAAAGCCGUUAUUGACGCUGAGGCACGAAAGUGUGGGGAUCAAA